CGGUGUUUAACUGGCGUGAUGUGGGACGUCCUACCGGUGGGCUUAGCCUCGCGAGGGGCGGCCCGACUAAUAUCCCGUCGCGGUGCUCUUUACUGAGUGUCGAGUCGGGCCGGUACGUUUACUUUGAACAAAUUAGAGUGCUUAAAGCAGGCUAUCCUCGCCUGAAUACUGCGUGCAUGGAAUAAUGGAAUAGGACCUCGGUUCUAUUUUGUUGGUUUUCGGAACCCCGAGGUAAUGAUUAAUAGGGACAGAUGGGGGCAUUCGUAUUGCGACGUUAGAGGUGAAAUUCUUGGAUCGUCGCAAGACGGACAGAAGCGAAAGCAUUUGCCAAAAAUGUUUUCAUUAAUCAAGAACGAAAGUUAGAGGUUCGAAGGCGAUCAGAUACCGCCCUAGUUCUAACCAUAAACGAUGCCAGCUAGCGAUCCGCCGAAGUUCCUCCGAUGACUCGGCGGGCAGCUUCCGGGAAACCAAAGCUUUUGGGUUCCGGGGGAAGUAUGGUUGCAAAGCUGAAACUUAAAGGAAUUGACGGAAGGGCACCACCAGGAGUGGAGCCUGCGGCUUAAUUUGACUCAACACGGGAAACCUCACCAGGCCCAGACACCGGAAGGAUUGACAGAUUGAUAGCUCUUUCUUGAUUCGGUGGGUGGUGGUGCAUGGCCGUUCUUAGUUGGUGGAGCGAUUUGUCUGGUUAAUUCCGAUAACGAACGAGACUCUAGCCUGCUAAAUAGGCGUACCUUAUGGUAUCGCGAAGGCCCCCGGCUUCGGCCGGUGGGUUUUUACUACCAACGUACAAACAAAUCUUCUUAGAGGGACAGGCGG
rnacentral:rRNA from 1 species